ACUCGUCCCAGCACUCGCUCUCAAUCCCAUGAUGCUCCAGAGGGUUCCCGAAGCCGUGGUGAUGAACCGCCACCUCCUCCUACCAUGGCUGAGGUUCUUAUGGCCGUGGAGCGCAACCGUGAGGCUGAAAACGCCGUCCUUCAGCAAAUCGCAGCAAGUGCAGCCGCUACCGCUACCCACAUUGCCCAAGGGGCGGGCGGUGGUGGACACCAUGCCGCCGGGGGACUUGCUGAAUUUCAGCGUACUCAACCUCCGGUGUUCACUCGCUCCGAUGAUCCACUUGAUGCUGAUGAUUGGCUUCGCACCAUCGAGCGGAAGCUCACUCUUAUUCGCUGCCCCGACGCCGAGAAGACCAACCUGGCAGCCGAGCAACUCCAAGCCGCAGCCGGUGAUUGGUGGGAGAACUUUCUCGCCAUGCAACCCGACGGCCGUGUCGUCACUUGGGCUCAAUUUCGGGAUGCUUUUCGUGCUGCCCAUGUGCCGAAGGGUAUUAUGGACCUCAAACAAUGUGAGUUCCUAUCUCUCACUCAAGGCAACAAGUCCGUCAUGGAGUAUCUCUGCGAGUUCAACCACUUAGCUCGCUAUGCUCCGGAUGAUGUCAAAACCGACACUCGCAAGCAAAAUCGGUUUAUGAACGGGUUGUCGGCGGAGAUGCAACUCGAGCUCGCUGCACACUCUUUUCUGGACUUUCAGGACCUCGUCAACAGGUCCGUGGUCGUGGAAAGCAAGAUGAAGAACCUCGAGGCCGAGCGCAAGCGCAAGAAGGCUGCGCAGAUUUCAGCCGCGGGUGGUUCGCAAAAACCCCGUGGUUGGCAGCCGCCCCCUCCGCGUUUUCAAGCACCACCACCUCCUCGUCCACAAAGAUUCGUGCCACGCCCUCCUUAGCAGCGUGUCGCGCCUCCCGUGGGUGGAAAUCAGCAAACUAUUCGCCGGCCCGUUCGCUCCAACAACUGCUUCAAUUGCAGGCAAGCGGGCCACUACAUCAACCAAUGCCCGUACCCUCAUCGUGCACAACUCCAAGGACCAAGACCAGCAGCACCACGUCCUAAUCCACCUCUCAGAUCAGCACCUCAGGGUCAGCAAACUCAGAAGAGGGGUAGAGUGAACCAUGUCACAGCCGAGGAGGCGAACGAUGCACCGGAUGUUCUUGUUGGAGAGGAAUCCGGUUUUGAGUUAUGCUUCUUGUGUGGUCAUUGCUCUACCGAGGGCGGCGAGGGCAAUGAGUGAUCUCUUGCGGCUUGGCUCUUGCCCGGUUGGUUUGCCCUAGCGGAGUUGUGGCACCACCGGUUUUAUCUUUUGCUUAUGAACUCUAAUUGAGACUUCCACUGCUAUAUUUAUGUGUUGUAUGUUGGGACCUCGGACCCUAUUAUGUGUCAUGUACCUCGCUGCACUUUAACCCUAUUAUGGUACUUGCUAUGUUUAUUAAUUGCUUGCGAUGAAA